rnacentral:rRNA from 1 species
UACGGGGGGGGGCAAGCGUUGUUCGGAAUUACUGGGCGUAAAGGGCUCGUAGGUGGCCAACUAAGUCAGACGUGAAAUCCCUCGGCUUAACCGGGGAACUGCGUCUGAUACUGGAUGGCUUGAGUUUGGGAGAGGGACGCGGAAUUCCAGGUGUAGCGGUGAAAUGCGUAGAUAUCUGGAGGAACACCGGUGGCGAAGGCGGCGUCCUGGACCAACACUGACACUGAUGAGCGAAAGCCAGGGGAGCAAACGGG